AAGCAAUGAGGACAAUAUUUUUAUUGAAACAAAAUGAUUUUAUUAUACGCUAUUCUGAGCUUCUC